rnacentral:rRNA from 1 species
GUCCACUGAACCUUAUCAUUUAGAGGAAGGAGAAGUCGUAACAAGGUUUCCGUAGGUGAACCUGCGGAAGGAUCAUUGACACACGUCCCUGCAAACCGUUGAACCGUUCCCUUGUCCCCUUGAGGGGCCACACCUGGAGGUGUGGCUGCUCGCGCCAUGGCUCCCCUACUCGGUUACCUUGGGAGGCACCAAGGGGUGGUGUCGGGCGGGGCUCCUUGCCGGUGCCGUCCACGUGCUCGGGUGCGCGUGGGUCGGGCAAGUGUUCCCCUCCUCCCGUGCCUCUCGGGGCUCGGGUGCCAUUUGCAUUGCGUUUCGGGAACCUUAUGUGUUUUGGAUGGUGAGCGACUCUGGGAUUGGGGUGGUCUUCCCGGCCGCCCCGCACCAGAUAGCGAAAUGAUGGAUAGUACCACUCUCAGCAACGGAUAUCUUGGCUCUUGCCACGAUGAAGAACGCAGCGAAAUGCGAUACGUGAUGUGAAUUGCAGAACUCCGUGAAUCAUUGAAUCUUUGAACGCAACUUGCGCCCGGGGCUUGUCCGAGGGCAUGUCUGGCUGAGCGUCUAAUCGUCCCUCUCGCUCGCACUGGCUGCGAAGCGCAAAUUGGCCGUCCAUGGCAAGCACAUGGUCGGCUGGAGUGCAUAGGGAGGACGCCGCACUCUAAAUGCGUCGCGUGACUGGCGGGGUUGGUUCGGGUUAUCGCCUGCUUCUGGCUGCGGCUGGUCCUAGGCGGUGCCCCCCACCUGCCAACAUGUUGCUCGCCGCUAAGGUGUCGGCUGAUUCCCUUGUGUGGCCACUACCCAAGAGACCUCAGAUCAGGCAAGGCUACCCGCUGAGUUUAAGCAUAUCAAUAAGCGGAGGA